rnacentral:lncRNA from 1 species
GGUUAUAGGAAUCAGUUAUAGAUUGUGAAUGGAAAGGGGUACACUAGUCAAUAUGUUAUGGGUAGAGACUCUAGAGUUUAUGAAAAUUAGUGAUAGUGAGAAUGUAUGCAUGGGUAAGUAGACAUAAUGUGAGAAGGUAUGUUGUGGAUUUUGAGGUAUAGUGGUAAUAUCAUAGAGAGGAUGUGAUUGUAGGUAGUAGUUAAGUGAAAUCCCCC